UGGGGAAUCUUAGACAAUGGGCGCAAGCCUGAUCUAGCCAUGCCGCGUGAGUGACGAAGGUCUUAGGAUCGUAAAGCUCUUUCGCCAGAGAUGAUAAUGACAGUAUCUGGUAAAGAAACCCCGGCUAACUCC
rnacentral:rRNA from 1 species